GAAUAUUGAGAAGAUCUGUCCUUAGUACGAGAGGACCGGGAUGGACAAAACUCUGAUGUACCAGUUGUCACGCCAGUGGCACAGCUGGGUAGUCACGUUUGGCAUAGAUAACCGCUGAAAGCAUCUAAGCGGGAAACUAGCUUCAAGAUAAGUAUUCUAAGAGGAAGCUUCGAGAACAGGAGCUGGAUAGGUUGGGGGUGUACGCGCAGUAAUGUGUUUAGCUGACCAAUACUAAUCGAACGAAAUUUUAAUCGG
rfam:Fusobacterium necrophorum subsp. funduliforme 1_1_36S genomic scaffold supercont1.7, whole genome shotgun sequence.